rnacentral:tRNA from 3 species
GGGCCCGUAGCUCAGAUGGUAGAUCGCUCGCUUGGCAUGCGAGAGGCCCCGGGUUCAAAUCCCGGCGGGUCCA